AACGAACGCUGGCGGCAGGCUUAACACAUGCAAGUCGAACGCCCCGCAAGGGGAGUGGCAGACGGGUGAGUAACACGUGGGAACGUGCCCUAAGGUUUGGAAUAUUCCCGGGAAACUGGGAGCAAUACCAAAUGUGACCGCAAGGUGAAAGAUUUAUCGCCUUAGGAUCGGCCCGCGUCAGAUUAGGUAGUUGGUGGGGUAAAAGCCUACCAAGCCGACGAUCUGUAGCUGGUCUGAGAGGACGACCAGCCACACUGGGACUGAGACACGGCCCAGACUCCUAUGGGAGGCAGCAGUGGGGAAUCUUGGACAAUGGGCGCAAGCCUGAUCCAGCCAUGCCGCGUGGAUGAUGAAGGCCCUAGGGUUGU
rnacentral:rRNA from 1 species